GCGUCGAUAGCUGAGAUGGAUUAGCGAGGGGCUGAAAAUCCCUAGAGGUUGGUUCGAUACCAAUUCGAUGCA
rnacentral:tRNA from 1 species